AGUGAACGCUGGCGGUAGGCCUAACACAUGCAAGUCGAACGGCAGCACAUUAAUAGCUUGCUCUUACGGGUGGCGAGUGGUGGACGGGUGAGGAAUACAUCGGAACCUACUUUUUCGUGGGGGACAACUAAGGGAAACUCACGCUAAUACCGCAUACGACCUACGGGUGAAAGCAGGUGAUCUUCGUACCUUGCGCGAUUGAAUGAGCCGGUGCCGGGUUAGUUAGUUGGCGGGGUAAAGGCCCACCAAGCCGACGAUCCGUAGCUGGUCUGAGAGGAUGAUCCGACACACUGGAACUGGGACACGGGCCAGACUCCUACGGGGGGCAGCAGUAGGGAAUAUUGGACAAUGGGCGCGAGGCUGAUCCAGCCAUACCGCGUGGGUGGAGGAGGCCUUCGGGUUGUAAAGCCCUUUUGUUGGGAAAGAAAAGCAGCAGGUUAAUACCCCGAUGUUCUGACGGUACCCGAAGAAUAAGCACCGGCUAACUUCGUG
rnacentral:rRNA from 1 species